rnacentral:rRNA from 1 species
GCAGUCGAACGGUGAAGCCAAGCUUGCUUGGUGGAUCAGUGGCGAACGGGUGAGUAACACGUGAGCAACCUGCCCUGGACUCUGGGAUAAGCGCUGGAAACGGCGUCUAAUACUGGAUAUGAGACGUGAUCGCAUGGUCGUGUUUGGAAAGAUUUUUCGGUCUGGGAUGGGCUCGCGGCCUAUCAGCUUGUUGGUGAGGUAAUGGCUCACCAAGGCGUCGACGGGUAGCCGGCCUGAGAGGGUGACCGGCCACACUGGGACUGAGACACGGCCCAGACUCCUACGGGAGGCAGCAGUGGGGAAUAUUGCACAAUGGGCGGAAGCCUGAUGCAGCAACGCCGCGUGAGGGAUGACGGCCUUCGGGUUGUAAACCUCUUUUAGCAGGGAAGAAGCGAAAGUGACGGUACCUGCAGAAAAAGCGCCGGCUAACUACGUGCCAGCAGCCGCGGUAAUACGUAGGGCGCAAGCGUUAUCCGGAAUUAUUGGGCGUAAAGAGCUCGUAGGCGGUUUGUCGCGUCUGCUGUGAAAUCCCGAGGCUCAACCUCGGGCCUGCAGUGGGUACGGGCAGACUAGAGUGCGGUAGGGGAGAUUGGAAUUCCUGGUGUAGCGGUGGAAUGCGCAGAUAUCAGGAGGAACACCGAUGGCGAAGGCAGAUCUCUGGGCCGUAACUGACGCUGAGGAGCGAAAGGGUGGGGAGCAAACAGGCUUAGAUACCCUGGUAGUCCACCCCGUAAACGUUGGGAACUAGUUGUGGGGACCAUUCCACGGUUUCCGUGACGCAGCUAACGCAUUAAGUUCCCCGCCUGGGGAGUACGGCCGCAAGGCUAAAACUCAAAGGAAUUGACGGGGACCCGCACAAGCGGCGGAGCAUGCGGAUUAAUUCGAUGCAACGCGAAGAACCUUACCAAGGCUUGACAUAUACGAGAACGGGCCAGAAAUGGUCAACUCUUUGGACACUCGUAAACAGGUGGUGCAUGGUUGUCGUCAGCUCGUGUCGUGAGAUGUUGGGUUAAGUCCCGCAACGAGCGCAACCCUCGUUCUAUGUUGCCAGCACGUAAUGGUGGGAACUCAUGGGAUACUGCCGGGGUCAACUCGGAGGAAGGUGGGGAUGACGUCAAAUCAUCAUGCCCCUUAUGUCUUGGGCUUCACGCAUGCUACAAUGGCCGGUACAAAGGGCUGCAAUACCGUGAGGUGGAGCGAAUCCCAAAAAGCCGGUCCCAGUUCGGAUUGAGGUCUGCAACUCGACCUCAUGAAGUCGGAGUCGCUAGUAAUCGCAGAUCAGCAACGCUGCGGUGAAUACGUUCCCGGGUCUUGUACACACCGCCCGUCAAGUCAUGAAAGUCGGUAACACCUGAAGCCGGUGGCCCAACC